AGAAGAAAGAAAGAAAAAGAAAGAAAGAAAGAAAGAAAGAAAGAAAGAAAGAAAGAAAGAAAGAGCUCCCUUAUGCAGAUCUGGAGCCAGCAAGUGUGCCUCUGUGGGUUAUCUAAAUUAAUGGUUGUGUUUCUUUCUUUCUUUCUUCCUUCCUUCCUUCCUUCCUUCCUUCCUUCCUUCCUUCCUUCCUUCCU